GGGUGCUUAGCUGGUAUCCCGUAUCUCCAUACAAGAGAAUGAGAUUUUGACUUGAUCGGUAUCUUCUGAGGAGGCACGUAGGGCCCUUUGGUCUCUUGGAGAAGAUAAGGCCCCAGGGCCUGAUGGCUUUCCUCCGCUCUUCUUUCGUUGGUACUAGUCGAUCAUUCAGCAGGAGGUAGUGGAGGCGGUGUAGGCAGCCUUCGAGUCCAGAGGUAUUUUGGUGGCAUGGAAGCG
rnacentral:lncRNA from 1 species